GGAGGGAGGGGGCCUGGAGAAGGGCCUGCGGACCCAGACCAAGGAAGACCCAGCGGAGCGCACACCCUGGAAGGAGAGAGCGGGAGAGAUCGGGAGAGGAGACCCCCAAAGAAGGGAGCAAAGGGAUCAAGAGAGAUGGGGAAACUGAGGCCCAGCAGAGGGAAGGCAAUGGCCCAAGGACCACAGUGCCGGGUCGCCAGCUCUCCCCGGAGCUCCUCGAACCUGAAGACGCGGGGGACUGCCUUCGCGAUGCAAAGAGAAGGCCCCCUCAGGAGGGCCGUGUCUCUGCAGCCGCAAAGACUAGACAAGCGUGAAAAUGGCUAGAGAUUUUCCUUUUCUUCUUUUUUCUUUUUCCUUACUCCUUUGCUCUCUCCCUUCCCUCUUCCCUGCCUCCAUUUAAUCCCUUUCUUCUUUUAUUAACUCUCCCUUCUCUACCAGCAUCACAUUCUUUUGCUCUCACUCUCCUUCCUUACUGUUCUCCUCUCCCUUUCCCAAUUUCCUUCUGUCAGAAAAAGGGCCAAGCCACGGUCUUUUCCCUAAUAAUAAAGAGGAGGCC